rnacentral:rRNA from 1 species
AUUGAACGCUGGCGGCAUGCUUUACACAUGCAAGUCGAACGGCAGCGCGGGGGCAACCCUGGCGGCGAGUGGCGAACGGGUGAGUAAUGCAUCGGAACGUAUCCUGUAAUGGGGGGAUAACGUAGCGAAAGUUACGCUAAUACCGCAUACGCUCGAGAGAGGAAAGUGGGGGAUCGCAAGACCUCACGUUAUAGGAGCGGCCGAUGUCCGAUUAGCUAGUUGGUGGGGUAAAGGCCUACCAAGGCGACGAUCGGUAGCUGGUCUGAGAGGAUGAUCAGCCACACUGGGACUGAGACACGGCCCAGACUCCUACGGGAGGCAGCAGUGGGGAAUUUUGGACAAUGGGCGAAAGCCUGAUCCAGCCAUGCCGCGUGCGGGAAGAAGGGCCUUC